AUGGGAACAGCUGGAGAGGCAGAUCCAGCAGCGCUGUCGUUGAUCUCCACAGCACCUCCACCGGAGAGGCUGAGGGUCUUGUUUAUCACUACGGCUGGCUCUCUCCCUGCAGUCACCACCUCUUCCCUGGAUGGAUCCUGUGUGCGGGGGAGGCGGGGAGGGUAUAUGAGGGCUCGACAGGUCGUUGCUAUGUGUGAGCAGGGCCCAUGCCGAUGCAGCUGGCAGAUAGGAGCCCGUUGCCAGGGGAACAGUCGGCCGGGAGACAGGGGGCACCUGGGAACACAGCAGUCAUUGAGCCGGAGCUGGAGUGCAGGGCUCUCACCUGUAUCAGGAGUGAAACCGCAGGCAAACGGAGCCCUAGCGCAUCUCUACCUCCCUUCGCUGAUCCGGGGUGCAGUGGGAGUUCAACCAGUAGCCGGGCUGGGACCAGCCGGAGCUAAGGCAGUACAAUACCCCGGCUAUGGACCCCAAGGACUGCAGCCACGACCGGGAGCUCAGAAUGGGUUUGGAGCAGGACUGGGUAUCGGGGUAAAGCUGGGCAAAGCAGGCUAUAGGGUCCCCACUGGUUACGGUGCAGGAUUAGGUGCUUAUCCCCAAGGAGCAAAACAAAAGCCAGGGUACUCCCGUGCUGUGCUGCCCCUGGGAGGUUAUAGGGUAAGACCCAUAGCUGGCAGUUACUCCACAGCUCAACAAGGGUACCCUGGAGUAGGCGGUGGGUACGUAGUCAAUGGAGCACAGCCAGGAUAUGGGAAUGGCUAUGGUGCAGGAGGGAACAGUUACCCCGGCGCUGGACUCCAGUCAGGAUAUGGCAACGGUAUGUCCAGUGGCAGAGGGAUGGGAGGGAGGAGGCGAUCCCAGGGCAGGGCUAGA
rnacentral:lncRNA from 1 species